rnacentral:rRNA from 1 species
GACUACCGGGGUAUCUAAGCCUGUUUGCUCCCCACGCUUUCGCUCCUCAGCGUCAGGAAAGGUCCAGAGAACCGCCUUCGCCACCGGUGUUCCUCCUGAUAUCUGCGCAUUCCACCGCUCCACCAGGAAUUCCGUUCUCCCCUACCUCCCUCAAGUCUGCCCGUAUCGAAAGCAAGCACACCGUUAAGCAGUGUGUUUUCACAUCCGACGCAACAAACCACCUACGAGCUCUUUACGCCCAAUAAAUCCGGACAACGCUCGCACCCUACGUAUCACCGCGGCUGCUGGCACGUAGUUAGCCGGUGCUUCUUCUCCAGGUACCGUCAAAUUCGCCCCUGGUGAAAGCGGUUUACAACCCGAAGGCCUUCAUCCCGCACGCGGCGUUGCUGCAUCAGGCUUCCGCCCAUUGUGCAAUAUUCCCCACUGCAGCCCCCCGUAGG